rnacentral:rRNA from 1 species
UACGUAGGGGGCAAGCGUUGUCCGGAAUCAUUGGGCGUAAAGAGCGUGUAGGUGGCUCGGUAAGUCCGCUGUAAAAGUCCAGGGCUCAACCCUGGAAAGCCGGUGGAAACUGUCGAGCUAGAGUCCGGCAGAGGGGGGUGGAAUUCCGCGUGUAGCAGUGAAAUGCGUAGAGAUGCGGAGGAACACCGAUGGCGAAGGCAGCCCCCUGGGCUAACACUGACGCUCAGGCACGAAAGCGUGGGGAGCAAACAGG